rnacentral:rRNA from 1 species
UACAGAGGUGGCAAGCGUUGCUCGGAAUUACUGGGCGUAAAGGGCGCGUAGGCGGUUCGUUAAGUCCUGUGUGAAAUCCCCCGGCUCAACUGGGGAACUGCACAGGAAACUAGCGGGCUUGAGCUCGGGAGAGGGAAGCGGAAUUCCGGGUGUAGCGGUGAAAUGCGUAGAUAUCCGGAGGAACACCGGUGGCGAAGGCGGCUUCCUGGACCGACACUGACGCUGAGGCGCGAAAGCUAGGGUAGCGAACGGG